GAUCCUAGCUUGCUAGGAGGCGUCGAGCGGCGGACGGGUGAGUAAUGCAUAGGAAUCUGCCCGGUAGUGGGGGAUAACCUGAGGAAACUCAGGCUAAUACCGCAUACGUCCUACGGGAGAAAGCAGGGGCUCUUCGGACCUUGCGCUAUCGGAUGAGCUUAUGUCGGAUUAGCUGGUUGGUGAGGUAACGGCUCACCAAGGCGACGAUCCGUAGCUGGUCUGAGAGGAUGAUCAGCCACAUCGGGACUGAGACACGGCCCGAACUCCUACGGGAGGCAGCAGUGGGGAAUAUUGGACAAUGGGGGCAACCCUGAUCCAGCCAUGCCGCGUGUGUGAAGAAGGCCCUCGGGUUGUAAAGCACUUUCAGUGAGGAAGAAGGCUUGUCGGUUAAUACCCGGCAAGAAAGACAUCACUCACAGAAGAAGCACCGGCUAACUCCGUGCCAGCAGCCGCGGUAAUACGGAGGGUGCGAGCGUUAAUCGGAAUUACUGGGCGUAAAGCGUGCGUAGGCGGCUUGAUAAGCCGGUUGUGAAAGCCCCGGGCUCAACCUGGGAACGGCAUCCGGAACUGUCAGGCUAGAGUGCAGGAGAGGAAGGUAGAAUUCCCGGUGUAGCGGUGAAAUGCGU
rnacentral:rRNA from 1 species